rnacentral:misc_RNA from 1 species
AACAUCGCGCACCUGCGGGAACCUGCGGAGGGAUCAUUACAGAGUUGCAAAACUCCCUAAACCAUUGUGAACCUACCUUCUACCGUUGCUUCGGCGGGCGGGCCUAGCGCCCCCCCGGCCCCCCGCGGGCGCCCGCCGGAGGAUAACCAAACUCUUGACAUCAGUGGCCUCUCUGAGUAUUCUUUACUGAAUAAGUCAAAACUUUCAACAAUGGAUCU